GCCCAACUUGCUGCAAAACAAUAACACAAAAGGUCUGGACUAUGGAGUGCAGCAUUACUUGUUUGGUCAUCUACAUUCAGAUGAAAACACCACACUCCUCUCUAAUUCAAGAUGUCAAGCCUACUCAUCGCAAGGAGAGUUAGCAUCAAAAUGGAUGUGUCACUGACCAAUAACACAGAGAUGCCAGAAGUAUCUGUUUGCUGUCUACUUUUUGUUAAGUACUAUGGAGCAUCCAAAAGCCAUCACUCAGUUAAUUUCAAUCAGCACUAUUUAGCCCUUCCCAGUGCUGAAAUUGUCAUGGGUCCUUUGUUUUUAUUGUUUAAAUGCUUAUCUGAAUGUAAAAUUAACAUUUAAUGCUUAUAAAUUUAAAAACAAUACUACUAGUUAGUCUUUUCUCUCCCUUUCCAGAAAUGUGGU